GACGAACGCUGGCGGCGUGCUUAACACGUGCAAGUCGAACGGAAAGGCCCUGCUUUUGUGGGGUGCUCGAGUGGCGAACGGGUGAGUAACACGUGAGUAACCUGCCCUUGACUUUGGGAUAACUUCAGGAAACUGGGGCUAAUACCGGAUAGGAGCUCCUGCUGCAUGGUGGGGGUUGGAAAGUUUCGGCGGUUGGGGAUGGACUCGCGGCUUAUCAGCUUGUUGGUGGGGUAGUGGCUUACCAAGGCUUUGACGGGUAACCGGCCUGAGAGGGUGACCGGCCACAUUGGGACUGAGAUACGGCCCAGACUCCUACGGGAGGCAGCAGUGGGGAAUAUUGCACAAUGGGCGGAAGCCUGAUGCAGCAACGCCGCGUGCGGGAUGACGGCCUUCGGGUUGUAAACCGCUUUCGCCUGUGACGAAGCGUGAGUGACGGUAAUGGGUAAAGAAGCACCGGCUAACUACGUG
rnacentral:rRNA from 1 species